UGGUUGUGAUGCAGUCGAGCGGACAGAUGGGAGCUUGCUCCCUGAUGUUAGCGGCGGACGGGUGAGUAACACGUGGGUAACCUGCCUGUAAGACUGGGAUAACUCCGGGAAACCGGGGCUAAUACCGGAUGCUUAUUUGAACCGCAUGGUUCAAAUAUAAAAGGUGGCUUCGGCUACCACUUACAGAUGGACCCGCGGCGCAUUAGCUAGUUGGUGAGGUAACGGCUCACCAAGGCAACGAUGCGUAGCCGACCUGAGAGGGUGAUCGGCCACACUGGGACUGAGACACGGCCCAGACUCCUACGGGAGGCAGCAGUAGGGAAUCUUCCGCAAUGGACGAAAGUCUGACGGAGCAACGCCGCGUGAGUGAUGAAGGUUUUCGGAUCGUAAAGCUCUGUUGUUAGGGAAGAACAAGUACCGUUCGAAUAGGGCGGUACCUUGACGGUACCUAACCAGAAAGCCACGGCUAACUACGUGCCAGCAGCCGCGGUAAUACGUAGGUGGCAAGCGUUGUCCGGAAUUAUUGGGCGUAAAGGGCUCGCAGGCGGUUUCUUAAGUCUGAUGUGAAAGCCCCCGGCUCAACCGGGGAGGGUCAUUGGAAACUGGGGAACUUGAGUGCAGAAGAGGAGAGUGGAAUUCCACGUGUAGCGGUGAAAUGCGUAGAGAUGUGGAGGAACACCAGUGGCGAAGGCGACUCUCUGGUCUGUAACUGACGCUGAGGAGCGAAAGCGUGGGGAGCGAACAGGAUUAGAUACCCUGGUAGUCCACGCCGUAACGAUGAGUGCUAAGUGUUAGGGGGUUUCCGCCCCUUAGUGCUGCAGCUAACGCAUUAAGCACUCCGCCUGGGGAGUACGGUCGCAAGACUGAAACUCAAGGAAUUGACGGGGGCCCGCACAAGCGGUGGAGCAUGUGGUUUAUUCGAAGCAACGCGAGACCUUACCAGGUCUUGACAUCCUCUGACAUCCUAGAGAUAGGACGUCCCCUUC
rnacentral:rRNA from 1 species